rnacentral:rRNA from 1 species
GAUCAUGGCUCAGGAUGAACGCUAGCUACAGGCUUAACACAUGCAAGUCGAGGGGCAGCAUUUUAGUUUGCUUGCAAACUAAAGAUGGCGACCGGCGCACGGGUGAGUAACACGUAUCCAACCUGCCGAUAACUCGGGGAUAGCCUUUCGAAAGAAAGAUUAAUAUCCGAUGGUAUAUUAAAACCGCAUGGUUUUACUAUUAAAGAAUUUCGGUUAUCGAUGGGGAUGCGUUCCAUUAGUUUGUUGGCGGGGUAACCGG